rnacentral:rRNA from 1 species
AAAUUGAAGAGUUUGAUCAUGGCUCAGAUUGAACGCUGGCGGCAGGCCUAACACAUGCAAGUCGAACGGUAACAGGAAGCAGCUUGCUGCUUUGCUGACGAGUGGCGGACGGGUGAGUAAUGUCUGGGAAACUGCCUGAUGGAGGGGGAUAACUACUGGAAACGGUGGCUACUACCGCAUAACGUCGCAAGACCAAAGAGGGGGACCUUCGGGCCUCUUGCCAUCAGAUGUGCCCAGAUGGGAUUAGCUUGUUGGUGAGGUAACGGCUCACCAAGGCGACGAUCCCUAGCUGGUCUGAGAGGAUGACCAGCCACACUGGAACUGAGACACGGUCCAGACUCCUACGGGAGGCAGCAGUGGGGAAUAUUGCGCAAUGGGCGAAAGCCACAUGCAGACAUGCCGAGUGUAUGAAGAAGGCCUUCGGGUUGAAAAGUACUCUCAGCGGGGAGGAAGGUGAUGCCGUAAAAACGAUAAGCAAUUAGAGUGACACGCAGAAGAAGCACCGGGAUACUUCGUGCCAGCAGCCGCGGUACUCCGGAGGGUGCAAGAGUUAAUCGGAAUAACUGGGCGUAAACCGCGCGCAGUCUGUCUGUCAAGUCGGAUGUGAAAUCCCCGGGCUCAACCUGGGAACUGCAUUCGAAACUGGCAGGCUUGAGUCUUGUAGAGGGGGGUAGAAUUCCAGGUGUAGCGGUGAAAUGCGUAGAGAUCUGGAGGAAUACCGGUGGCGAAGGCGGCCCCCUGGACAAAGACUGACGCUCAGGUGCGAAAGCGUGGGGAGCAAACAGGAUUAGAUACCCUGGUAGUCCACGCCGUAAACGAUGUCUACUUGGAGGUUGUGCCCUUGAGGCGUGGCUUCCGGAGCUAACGCGUUAAGUAGACCGCCUGGGGAGUACGGCCGCAAGGUUAAAACUCAAAUGAAUUGACGGGGGCCCGCACAAGCGGUGGAGCAUGUGGUUUAAUUCGAUGCAACGCGAAGAACCUUACCUGGUCUUGACAUCCACGGAAGUUUUCAGAGAUGAGAAUGUGCCUUCGGGAACCGUGAGACAGGUGCUGCAUGGCUGUCGUCAGCUCGUGUUGUGAAAUGUUGGGUUAAGUCCCGCAACGAGCGCAACCCUUAUCCUUUGUUGCCAGCGGUUAGGCCGGGAACUCAAAGGAGACUGCCAGUGAUAAACUGGAGGAAGGUGGGGAUGACGUCAAGUCAUCAUGGCCCUUACGACCAGGGCUACACACGUGCUACAAUGGCGCAUACAAAGAGAAGCGACCUCGCGAGAGCAAGCGGACCUCAUAAAGUGCGUCGUAGUCCGGAUUGGAGUCUGCAACUCGACUCCAUGAAGUCGGAAUCGCUAGUAAUCGUGGAUCAGAAUGCCACGGUGAAUACGUUCCCGGGCCUUGUACACACCGCCCGUCACACCAUGGGAGUGGGUUGCAAAAGAAGUAGGUAGCUUAACCUUCGGGAGGGCGCUUACCACUUUGUGAUUCAUGACUGGGGUGAAGUCGUAACAAGGUAACCGUAGGGGAACCUGCGGUUGGAUCACCUCCUUACCUUAAAGAA